AGAGCUCCUGAGAGGUCAGCGUGGCUGAUCAGGGAAGGCUGACAGCAGGAAGAGGGGAGAUGCUCCUAAGAACAGUUUGAACACACCGAUGCAUAAACAAACCUCCCUUCCUAGCCACACAAGGUGACAGUGAAAAAGACAAGCAAAUGUAAAGGAGGUGAUAGACUCUUAGAAGCUACCGUACUCGCUCGUGGAUAGAGUGAUGGCGGCAGCCAACUCUGCCAAACCUGCUGCUCCUGGCAAGUCCCACAGCCAGUGCCAUGUUGGGCACGGUCAUCUCUCUUGGACUCUGACACUGCCUCGCGGCAGCCCUUGUUCCUGCAGCCUCACCCCAGUGGCUUGUUCUAUGCUACUAACAAAUUAGAAUUGGUUGCCUCCUG
rnacentral:lncRNA from 1 species